GCCGGGUGUGGUGGCGCACACCUGUAAUCCCAGCUACUUGGGAGGCUGAGACACAAGAAUCUCUUGAGCCCAGGAGGCCAAGGUUUCAGUGAGCCAAGAUCGUGCCACUGCACUCCAGCCUGGGUGACAGAGCCAGACUCUGUCUCAA
rnacentral:SRP_RNA from 1 species